rnacentral:rRNA from 1 species
GAUGAACGCUGGCGGCGUGCCUAAUACAUGCAAGUCGAGCGAACAGACGAGGAGCUUGCUCCUCUGACGUUAGCGGCGGACGGGUGAGUAACACGUGGAUAACCUACCUAUAAGACUGGGAUAACUUCGGGAAACCGGAGCUAAUACCGGAUAAUAUAUUGAACCGCAUGGUUCAAUAGUGAAAGACGGUUUUGCUGUCACUUAUAGAUGGAUCCGCGCCGCAUUAGCUAGUUGGUAAGGUAACGGCUUACCAAGGCAACGAUGCGUAGCCGACCUGAGAGGGUGAUAGGCCACAAUGGAACUGAGAAACGGUCCAGACUCCGACGGGAGGGCGGAGUUGGGAAUAUUGCAGAAUGGGCGAAAGCCUGACGGAGCAACGCCGCGUGAGUGAUGAAGGUCUUCGGAUCGUAAAGCUCUGUUAUUAGGGAAGAACAAAUGUGUAAGUAACUAUGCACGUCUUGACGGUACCUAAUCAGAAAGCCACGGCUAACUACGUG